CCUGCAAUGCGUCAAGGAACGAUGCUGGCAUGAAUGUGCUGGAGAGAGUUUUGUAUGAAUGGCUGAAUCCGAAGAGAGACGGGAAGGAGAGAGGGAAUUAGGGAGGCUGCAGGCCUUGGGGAACGGUGGGUGACGGGGCGGGUUAGCCCAAAAAGUGCAAAGGUGACUGCAGAGCCUCUCUGCGGCUGCAUGGACAGGCACGGGGAAGACCUCCCUUCCCCUGGGCGUUUGCAGCAAGGGAGUCCGGGGCUGGGCUGCCUCCCCGGCAGGGAGAGGAAGGGAAGGGAAAGGAAAGGCAGGGCGUUCAUUCCUUCCCUUCCAAGGGGAAAAGCGCUUGUGCCCGACAACCAGCAGCAACGCCUUCUUGCCUCGUUGCCGAGGCGAGCAUUUCGGACAGCAGCCCCCUCGCUUGAGAGUUGGGACGGCGAUUGCAGACGAAGGGCAGACCCAUCCCCAUCUGCUUGGCCAACCGUGGGUCGCCACGUGUUUUUCCCGCGGAGAAAAACGCGCCUUCGCCUUGGGGGAACGAUCCGUUUCUCUCCCGCGCUCGGCAUCUGCACAACGCCAACCGAGAAACGCCUCAGCUUGGAAAGGCUCGGUUGGCCGGACGAGGCGUAACCGCGCCCGGAACUCUUCGGCCUUUUUGGCCGAGAGAGGCUGGUUGGGUGUCGCUCAGCCUCCAACUUGGAGCCGGCUGGGAAUAAGACCGGACAGAACAAGUUUUGAACAGAGACCAGGAACUAUUCUUUACUGUCCUUUUCGUUGUGCAACCUAAUUUUUAAAAAAGGGAGUCCUGCUUGUCUGGUUGCAUACACAAACACACAAAGAAUCUCAGGUUGGGGGUAAGGGCGGGUCAGCAAUCAGCCUGUGAAUGUAAAACUUUCACUGGAGUUUCGUGACUGAAUAUGUAAGACACAACACAUGCAGAAGUGUCUUCAUAGAAGCAACUGCAGUGGAAAAUGGGUCUCUGGCAUCUUUAACAUUGGGUACCAUGGAGAUUUCCAAAAGAUGUUCCCAUCUCUGCCUAAUACCUCUUCCAACAGAAUAUUAAAGACGAAGGAUACUCUCCAGUCACUUACAAAACGGGAAUGAUGAUAAUAGCAGAAACUUUUACAUUGGAAAAAAAGCUAUAGAAGUGGAACUUGCAACAAAAUUUUGCAAUGAAGAUGUUCAGCUAUGGCUUAUUUCACAUACAUGCCUGCUACAUAGUUUGCAAGUUGAGAUUUAAUCAUUGUAUAUUCAAAAACAUAUGCCUCCAGAAAAACAUGGAAGUAUCCAACUUAAUUAAUGUUUGUCAUAUACUUGUAUACUAAAGUUGUCACAACUUAGAAUCUUCAGAUUACCUUGAAUUUGUUCUACAGGAGAAAGGAUUAUAAUUCAUUGAAUAAUCAAACAAAAUUCAUGGUAUACAACUGUACAAGUAUAUUAUAGGAUGGUACCAUCACUGAAAUUUAUUAGAUAUAUGUAGCUCUGCCAUUUUAUUGAGCCUGUUUGGUAUUACCAAAACAGAAAAUAUAACAAUAAUAUGAUAUACAUUUAUAAUUCUUACGUUGUCAGAUUGUCAUUGGGAUUAUUACUGAAACUUUCCCCCUAUUUAUAUUUUUUUUCAGAAAGAUGACUCAAGUUUGAGUUUUUUUGGCAUGGAUGUUUUACGUAUUUGAACAUCUUUGUUUGAAUACAAUAUUGUUGUAUAUUCUGUUGUAUAUCGGAAGGCUACAGUUCUUCAAAUAUAAUUGAUAUCGAGCAUUUUAAUUUUCACAGUAAGAAACAUUUUUGUAAUAAAAGAAGAGCUUCAAGCAUAAUGUUAUAAAGCCAGUAGGGAUAACAUAUUAUUUUGAUGAACAAUAUAAGUGGGUUGGGGAAGUUUUCCAUUUCAAAAUGCUGAAGUAAGAGCAAAGUCUCAUGAGUUCAACUGGCAAUUGUUUUUGAAAAUUUGAUAUCACUGAAUUAUAUUGGCAAUAUAUCCCAAAGAACUGAAUAAAUUUGAAAAAAAAUGUUUUCUUACUGGAGGGGAUAUUAAGCACUAGCCAAUUUAUUUUAAAAUAUUUCACCUAGAACAUAAAGCAGUUUUUCUGAUAUUAGCAGAUUAAAAUUCUGGAGAAGAUCUUUUUCCUGCCAAAACAAAGUUUAUGCUUUUCAAAAACAAGUCACAUCUUUCCACUCAUGUAACAAAGUUUUAAAAAGAAAAAGUAAAAUCACAAAUCUUACU